rnacentral:tRNA from 1 species
UCCCUGGUGGCUCAGACAUAGAGCAUCUGCCUACAAUGCAGGACACCCAGGUUCAGACCCUGGGUCGGGAA